rnacentral:hammerhead_ribozyme from 1 species
AUUCAUCUGACGAGUCUCAAAUAGGACGAAACGCGCGUUCUGGAU